rnacentral:misc_RNA from 1 species
CUGCUUGCUCACGACCCCGCCCGGGCGACCGCGCGGGGUCGGGCACGCCACCCUUGCCUAUGUAUACCUGUCGUUACUCCCUCGGCGGGGACACCCGCCGCUGGGAUCACCUAAACCCUCUUGCAUACAGCAUCCAACCUUCUGAACAACAAACCGAAUAAUCA